rnacentral:rRNA from 1 species
AGUGAACGCUGGCGGCAGGCCUAAUACAUGCAAGUCGAACGGCAGCACAGCAGAGCUUGCUCUGUGGGUGGCGAGUGGCGGACGGGUGAGGAAUACGUGGGAAUCUGCCCAGUCGUGGGGGAUAACGUAGGGAAACUUACGCUAAUACCGCAUGCGCCCUUCGGGGAAAGCCGGGGACCUUCGGGCCUGGCGCGAUUGGAUGAGCCCACGUCGGAUUAGCUAGUUGGCGGGGUAAAGGCCCACCAAGGCGACGAUCCGUAGCUGGUCUGAGAGGAUGAUCAGCCACACUGGAACUGAGACACGGUCCAGACUCCUACGGGAGGCAGCAGUAGGGAAUAUUGGACAAUGGGGCGCAAGCCUGAUCCAGCCAUGCCGCGUGAGUGAAGAAGGCCCUCGGUGUAAGCUCUUUGUCCGGAAAGAAAGCGCC